rnacentral:piRNA from 1 species
UGAAGAUCUUAGAUGGGACCCAUUGCUUAUU